UACGUAGGAGACGAGCGUUGUCCGGAGUUACUGGGCGUAAAGCGCGCGUAGGCGGGUUGGCAAGUCUGCUGUGAAAGCCCGGGGCUUAACUCCGGAGGGUCGGUGGAUACUGCCAGUCUUGAAGGUGCUAGGGAGAGAUGGAAUUACAGGUGUAGCGGUGAAAUGCGUAGAUAUCUGUAGGAACACCAGUGGCGAAGGCGGUCUCUUGGGGCAUUCUUGACGCUGAGGCGCGAAAGCUGGGGGGAGCGAACGGG
rnacentral:rRNA from 1 species